rnacentral:rRNA from 1 species
CCUACGGGAGGCAGCAGUGGGGAAUAUUGGGCAAUGGGCGCAAGCCUGACCCAGCAACGCAGCGUGAAGGAAGAAGGCUUUCGGGUUGUAAACUUCUUUUCUGAGGGACGAAGAAAGUGACGGUAACUCAGGAAUACACCACGGCUAACUACUUGCCAGCAGCCGCGGUAAUACGUAGGUGGCAAGCGUUAUCCGGAUUGAUUGGGUGUAAAGGUCGUGUAGGCGGGAAAGCAAGUCAGAUGUGAAAACUCAGGGCUCAACCCUGAGCCUGCAUUUGACACUGUUUUUCUUGAGUGCUGGAGAGGUAAGCGGAAUUCCGGGUGUAGCGGUGAAAUGCGUAGAUAUAAGGAGGAACACCAGUGGCGAAGGCGGAUUGCUGGACAGUAACUGACGCUGAGGCGCGAAAGUGUGGGGAGCAAACAGGAUUAGAUACCCUUGUAGUC